UGGGGAAUCUUGCGCAAUGCGCGAAAGCGUGACGCAGCAACGCCGCGUGGGGGAAGAAGGCCUUCGGGUUGUAAACUCCUUUCAGGAGGGACGAAGGGCGGGCCACGAAUAGUGAGCUCGUCUGACGGUACCUCCAGAAGAAGCCCCGGCUAACUACGUGCCAGCAGCCGCGGUAAUACGUAGGGGGCAAGCGUUGUCCGGAAUCAUUGGGCGUAAAGCGCGCGUAGGCGGCCUCACAAGUCCGCUGUAAAAGUCAAAGGCUCAACCUUUGAAUGCCAGUGGAAACUGUGAGGCUAGAGUCCGGAAGAGGCGAGUGGAAUUCCUGGUGUAGCGGUGGAAUGCGCAGAUAUCAGGAGGAACACCAACGGCGAAGGCAGCUCGCUGGGACGGUACUGACGCUGAGGCGCGAAAGCGUGGGGAGCAAACAGGAUUAGAUACCCUGGUAGUCCACGCCGUAAACGAUGGGCACUAGGUGUGGGAGGUGUCGACUCCUCCCGUGCCGGCG
rnacentral:rRNA from 1 species